UACGUAGGGUGCAAGCGUUACUCGGAAUUACUGGGCGUAAAGCGUGCGCAGGCGGCUUUGCAAGACAGAUGUGAAAUCCCCGGGCUUAACCUGGGAACUGCAUUUGUGACUGCAUGGCUGGAGUGCGGCAGAGGGGGAUGGAAUUCCGCGUGUAGCAGUGAAAUGCGUAGAUAUGCGGAGGAACACCGGUGGCGAAGGCGGCAUCCUGGACCGGUAUUGACGCUGAGGCGCGAAAGCCAGGGGAGCAAACGGG
rnacentral:rRNA from 1 species